AAGGAAUACACCGAAAAUCCUGAACAGAGUAGACA
rfam:Sphingobacterium sp. ML3W, complete genome.